rnacentral:rRNA from 1 species
AUGUUAAUAGCAUAUUCAUUUGACGUUUAGCUGCAGAAGAAGCACCGGCUAACUCCGUGCCAGCAGCCGCGGUAAUACGGAGGGUGCGAGCGUUAAUCGGAAUUACUGGGCGUAAAGCGCAUGCAGGUGGUUUGUUAAGUCAGAUGUGAAAAGCCCGGGGCUCAACCUCGGAAUUGCAUUUGAAACUGGCAAACUAGAGUACUGUAGAGGGGGGUAGAAUUUCAGGUGUAGCGGUGAAAUGCGUAGAGAUCUGAAGGAAUACCGGUGGCGAAGGCGGCCCCCCUGGACAGAUACUGACACUCAGAGUGCGAAAGCGUGGGGAGCAAACAGGAUUAGAUACCCUGGUAG